UUUCUAUUGUUCUCGUGUCAUCGCUUUUGUCACUGUACACACAAAAAUAUAUCUGUGAUUAUAAUCAAUAAUAAAACAUGUGUAACGUAAAGACGAGAUAACAAAAUUAUAUUUGUAAAUACAACCAAGAUAAUAAAUCGUUUUUUAGGAAAUAAACCAGAUAUCUACCUGAAGACAAGCCACGAAAUGAAUUGGUCAACUCGACUCACUGUAUGGAUGAUUGUUUCUUGUAUCACCAUGACGCAUGUCCAUAGUUAUUUCCAAAUUCCGCCGUACAAUUUUACGGGAAUAUUAGACAAGAAGGUUGCCUCUACAUUUUUAUGUCGACAUGGCUGCCGAUAUGCACAACAUGACAUGGGUGAAGAAGAAGAACGAGACAGAGAAUUUAAAGAAAGGAAAAGAGAAGUCCCCGAAUUUAUAGUAUAGAGUAAAUUUACUAGUCUGUAAUACAGUUCCUUUCUCUAAAACUAAUUGUUUUUGUCUCAUAUAAAGCAUGUAGAAAAACUUAUUAGUUGGAAUUCUAAUAUUUUACUAUAUAUUUAUUACGAAUCUCAUAUUUUUUUAUUUUCUUUCAUUUUGCAAGGUGAUUAAUGCGUAAUAAAAUUCCGUGUAAACACAGAAUCUUGUUGUUGCUAGAUUCUACUGUCAAUUAAGCGGUACAUCCUUGUCAUCUUUAAAGAUUUAGAAAAUUUACGAAGGACAUAAUGACAUACACAAUAUGGUGUACUAUUGGGUGAAGUUGAAAUGAAGCCGAUUCCAAAGAACUUGCUGUUGAUUAAUUCAAAGUUCAACUGUGAAAGUGUUAACAUGUAAAAAAACGACACGACACCUAGGCAGUAAUCUAAAUAUCAUCAAAAGGAAAUAACAUUUAAAAGUGAUUACCAACAUAACAUAGAAAACAUGAAAUGUAGCAUCAGUUAACUAACAGACUCAUUAAUAACUCCGUUAAGUUUC